ACGCCAUUCAGAUUUCCAAUGUUUUACUAUUACUCACUUUGUUUCGUUCUGAAAACAUUGUUAUGCUGUAAUUCCAAUAGAACAUUGGGACACGUGUUUGGCAUAACAAUCUAGGAAAUUAAAAAAGAAAACACUUGUGUCUGUGCUGUUUGCUAGAAAAUUGCAUCUUUCUAAAUGUAAGUAACAUGUUACAAUUUUAAAAGUCUUUCGUUAAGUCAAGCCGUUUGUGCUACAUCAAAUCAAAAUGGCUACCUUAUGACAUGUAUUACAGACCGGCUUCGAAUUUCUAAUGUUUAGUAUCUUGCUAUUAGAACAGAAAAUAUUCUAUGAUGCCGUUUUGACAUGGAUAGGAAUUAUAUAAGUCAGCACUAAUUUUCAUAACUCGCUAACUCUCGGUAUAAAGAUAUUGACACAUAUGAUACCUGUAUCAAUGUUAAAUGAAAGGACAAACCAAU
rnacentral:lncRNA from 1 species